UCUUCUUGCUUCUUCUCUUCUUGAUUCUUCUCUUUCUUCUUCUACGUAGGUUAUUUGCCCCAACAAAGACAUACUUAGCUAAUUAUCGUCCAAAAUGACAUAAUUAGCAUAGGUAGGUAAAAACAUCAUAAGAACCUUGGUUAGCUCAUUAAAAUGACUAAUUUAGCUCCAAAAUGACAUAAUAAGGUCAAAAUGGAUUAAUAAUCAUAGUUGGCUACAAAAUGACAUAUUUUAUCCAAGUUAGCUCUAGAAUGACCAAUACUUAGCUAAGUUCUCUCCUCAAUGACAUAAUAAGGCUAUGUAGCUCCAAGAUGACCUAUUCCACAUAACUUAGCUAUUAAAUGGC
rnacentral:lncRNA from 1 species